ACCCGCUGGAUUUAAGCAUAUCAGUAAGCGGAGGAAAAGAAACUAACUAGGAUUGCCCCAGUAGCGGCGAGUGAACAGGCAAAAGCUCAAAAUGAAAAUCCUUGGCACAAAGUUAAGGAAUUGUAAUCUAGAGAUUUUUUUCCGAGGGAAUGAAGGUAGCAUAAGUCCCUUGGAAAAGGGCGACAAAGAGGGUGAAAUCCCCGUAGUUGGCUAUCUUCGGAACUAAGGAAUGAAGUCAGAGAGUCGGGUUGUUUGGGAUUGCAGCCCUAAAUGGGAGAUAAACUUCUUCUAAAGCUAAAUAUUUAUGGGAAACCGAUAGCGAACAAGUACUGCGAAGGAAAGGUGAAAAGAACUUUGAAAAGAGGGUUAAAAGACUUGAAAUCGUUGAGAAGAAAGUGGUAAAAGAGUAAUCAAUUGCGUGUAAUAAAGGGUUUGCUUCCCCAGUUUGAGCGUGCUUUAGUACUUCAUAGGCUGUGUACGUUUAACGCUGGGUAGUUGGCUUGAUUUUGCACGUAAGAGACAAAAUGAAGUUCAGAGCCGGGAAUAAACCUUCAAAAAGACUUUUUGGGGAUGAAACCGGGACUGGGCUUGAGGGGCCUGCGGGCGAUUUUGUCAAAGUGGCUUUUACCGUCCCGUCUUGAAACACGGACCAAGGAGUCUAUCCAAUAUGCAAGUGUUAGGGUGGAAAAACCCGAACGCAUAAGGAAACUGAGGACAAGUUGUUACAGCAACAGCCGACCUAGCGUCUCUGACAAAGGGCUCGAGCAAGAGCAUAUUUGAUAGGACCCGAAAGAUGGUGAACUACGCUUGAGUAGGGUGAAGCCAGGGGAAACUCUGGUGAAAGCUCGAAGCGGUACUGACGUGCAAAUCGUUCGUCAAACUUGAGUGUAGGGGCGAAAGACUAAUCGAACCAUCUAGUAGCUGGUUCCCUCUGAAGUUUCUCUCAGGAUAGCUGGAACAAAAAAGCAGUUUUAUUAGGUAAAGCGAAUGAUUAGAGGAAUCGGAGCUUAAUAAGUUUUGACCUAUUCUCAAACUUUAAAUUGGUAAGAACCGUGGGUUAUACUUAAGUGAACCAACGGGAAGAAUGCUUGUUCCAAGUGGGCCAUUUUUGGUAAGCAGAACUGGCGAUGAGGGAUGAACCUAACGCUUAGAUAAGGUGCCUAAAUCUGCAUUCAUGAGAUCCCACAAAAGGUGUUGGUUCAUUAAUACAGCAGGACGGUGGCCCUGGUAGUCGGAAUCCGCUAAGGAGUGUGUAACAACUCACCUGCCGAAUGAACUAGCCCUGAAAAUGGAUGGCGCUGAAGUGCAGUACCGAUACUAAGCCAUUACAGCAAAUUUGAGGCUGUGAUGAGUAAGAGGGCGUGUCCGUCUCGUGUAGAAGCCUUUGGUGUGAACCUGGGUGGAACGGCGGAUAGUGCAGAUCUUGGUGGUAGUAGCAAAUAUUCAAAUGAGAACUUUGAAGACCGAAGUGGGGAAGGGUUCCAUGAGAACAGCAAUUGGUCAUGGGUUACUCGAUCCUAAGGCAUAGGGCAAGUCCUUGGAAUGCAAUACAGUGUACUCUGUAGCUGCCAAAAGGGAAAGGGGUUAAUAUUCCUCUAGUUGGCUGUGGUUUCAAUGUGGUAACACAAAUGAGCCUGCGGACGUCAGCAUGACCUCCUGGAAGAGUUGUCUUUUCUUUUUAACUGUUUAUGGCCCUGAAAUUAGAUUAUCUAGAGAAAGGGCUGUAAGACAGGCAGAGCAGCUCACCCUCCGAGCUGUCAGGUGCGGUCAUGAUGAUCCUUGAAAACGCAGGGGAGAGUUAAAUUCACACCAAAUCGUACCCAUAACCGCAUCAGGUCUCCAAGGUU
rnacentral:rRNA from 1 species